UACGUAGGGGGCAAGCGUUAUCCGGAUUCACUGGGCGUAAAGGGAGCGCAGGCGGCGCGGCAAGUCUGAUGUGAAAGCCCGGGGCUCAACCCCGGGUCUGCAUUGGAAACUGUCGAGCUAGAGUGUCGGAGGGGUAAGCGGAAUUCCUAGUGUAGCGGUGAAAUGCGUAGAUAUUAGGAGGAACACCAGUGGCGAAGGCGGCUUACUGGACGAUGACUGACGCUGAGGCUCGAAAGCGUGGGGAGCAAACAGG
rnacentral:rRNA from 1 species